rnacentral:tRNA from 1 species
GCCGGCGUAGCUCAAUGGCAGAGCAGCUGCUUUGUAAGCAGCGGGUUGGGGGUUCGAUUCCUCUCGCCGGCU